AGAGUUUGAUCCUGGCUCAGGAUGAACGCUAGCGACAGGCCUAACACAUGCAAGUCGAGGGGCAUCGGGGCGAGGAGCAAUCCUUGCCGCCGGCGACCGGCGCACGGGUGAGUAACGCGUAUGCGACCUGCCCGUUGCAGGGGGAUAAUCGGGAGAAAUCCCGUCUAAUACCGCGUAAUGCCGCGGGGCUGCAUGGCCCUGCGGCCAAAGGGAGCGAUUCCGGCAACGGAUGGGCAUGCGUGACAUUAGCUAGUUGGCGGGGCAACGGCCCACCAAGGCGACGAUGUCUAGGGGUUCUGAGAGGAAGGUCCCCCACAAUGGUACUGAGACACGGACCAGACUCCUACGGGAGGCAGCAGUGAGGAAUAUUGGUCAAUGGGCGCGAGCCUGAACCAGCCAAGUCGCGUGAGGGAUGACGGCCCUACGGGUUGUAAACCUCUUUUGUCGGGGAGCAAAUUCCGCCACGUGUGGCGGAGUCGAGAGUACCCGAAGAAAAAGCAUCGGCUAACUCCGUGCCAGCAGCCGCGGUAAUACGGAGGAUGCGAGCGUUAUCCGGAUUUAUUGGGUUUAAAGGGUGCGUAGGCGGACUGUCAAGUCAGCGGUAAAAUACGGGGGCUCAACCUCCGCCCGCCGUUGAAACUGACGGUCUUGAGUGGGCGAGAAGUAUGCGGAAUGCGUGGUGUAGCGGUGAAAUGCAUAGAUAUCACGCAGAACUCCGAUUGCGAAGGCAGCAUACCGGCGCCCAACUGACGCUGAAGCACGAAAGCGUGGGUAUCGAACAGGAUUAGAUACCCUGGUAGUCCACGCAGUAAACGAUGAAUACUAGCUGUCCGGGGCGAAUGAGCCCUGGGUGGCACAGCGAAAGCGUUAAGUAUUCCACCUGGGGAGUACGCCGGCAACGGUGAAACUCAAAGGAAUUGACGGGGGCCCGCACAAGCGGAGGAACAUGUGGUUUAAUUCGAUGAUACGCGAGGAACCUUACCCGGGCUCAAACGACACAGGAACGUACCUGAAAGGGUUCGGCUCUACGGAGCCUGUGUCGAGGUGCUGCAUGGUUGUCGUCAGCUCGUGCCGUGAGGUGUCGGCUUAAGUGCCAUAACGAGCGCAACCCCCAUCGACAGUUGCUAACAGGUCAGGCUGAGGACUCUGUCGAGACUGCCGGCGCAAGCUGCGAGGAAGGCGGGGAUGACGUCAAAUCAGCACGGCCCUUACGUCCGGGGCGACACACGUGUUACAAUGGCAGGUACAGCGGGAAGCCACCUGGCGACAGGGAGCGGAACCCGAAAGCCUGUCUCAGUUCGGAUUGGAGUCUGCAACCCGACUCCAUGAAGCUGGAUUCGCUAGUAAUCGCGCAUCAGCCACGGCGCGGUGAAUACGUUCCCGGGCCUUGCACACACCGCCCGUCAAG
rnacentral:rRNA from 1 species